rnacentral:rRNA from 1 species
UCCGUAGGGGGCAAGCGUUGUCCGGAUUUAUUGGGCGUAAAGAGCGUGUAGGCGGCUAGGUAGGUCCGUUGUGAAAACUCGAGGCUCAACCUCGAGACGCCGAUGGAAACCAUCUAGCUAGAGUCCGGAAGAGGAGAGUGGAAUUCCUGGUGUAGCGGUGAAAUGCGCAGAUAUCAGGAAGAACACCCGUGGCUAAGGCGGCUCUCUAGUACGGUACUGACGCUGAGACGCGAAAGCGUGGGGAGCGAACAGG